rnacentral:rRNA from 1 species
AUUGAACGCUGGCGGCAUGCUUUACACAUGCAAGUCGAACGGUAACAGGCCGCAAGGUGCUGACGAGUGGCGAACGGGUGAGUAAUGCAUCGGAACGUGCCCAGUCGUGGGGGAUAACGCAGCGAAAGCUGCGCUAAUACCGCAUACGAUCUAGGGAUGAAAGCGGGGGACCGCAAGGCCUCGCGCGGUUGGAUCGGCCGAUGUCAGAGUAGGUAGGUGGUGGGGUAAAGGCUCACCAAGCCAACGAUCUGUAGCUGGUCUGAGAGGACGACCAGCCACACUGGGACUGAGACACGGCCCAGACUCCUACGGGAGGCAGCAGUGGGGAAUUUUGGACAAUGGGCGCAAGCCUGAUCCAGCAAUGCCGCGUGCAGGAAGAAGGCCUUCGGGUUGUAAACUGCUUUUGUACGGAACGAAACGGUCCUGGUUAAUACCCGGGGCUAAUGACGGUACCGUAAGAAUAAGCACCGGCUAACUACGUGCCAGCCGCCGCCGUAAUAC